UGCCAGCAGCCGCGGUAAUACGGAGGGUGCAAGCAUUAAUCGGAUUUAUUGGGCGUAAAGGGCGCGUAGGCGUGGAGGAAAGUUAGGUGUGAAAGCCCGGAGCUCAACUCCGGACCCGCAUCUAAAACUUCUUCUCUUGAGGAUAGGCGGAGAAAAUGGAAUUCCACGUGUAGCGGUGAAAUGCGUAGAUAUGUGGAAGAACACCAGUGGCGAAGGCGAUUUUCUAGCUUAGACCUGACGCUGAGGCGCGAAGGCGUGGGUAGCGAACGGGAUUAGAUA
rnacentral:rRNA from 1 species